rnacentral:piRNA from 1 species
UAAUUUUAUUCAGAAACAAGGGAUAGUGGU